GAGAGACUUUGUCAACAAGAACACUAUCUCAACCUUUGUCCGCAUGCUUCCCUCGUAUGGGGAAUUUUUUUCUCUGUGUUGAUAUGGCAGCAUGGUGGAAAGCACAAAGAUGUUGGUGAGAGAAGCAGAUUGAGUUGCUACUCAUAAGAAGUGCCAGAUUGACAGCUCUUGGAGAUGGAAAUCUGGUAUCUGCCACUGAUUAGAGUCUUCUUACGAGAGGCUGAAAGGUGGUGUGGAAACAUUAAAGGUCAAAUCUGAAAGGAUGCGUAUAUCCUUAAUUUCCAGGAGGAAAACCAGUUUGAAAGAUGAAAAGCAACUUGCAUUGACAUUAGCUAAAAAUGGCACAGGGAAGCAAAGCAAUCAGAGUGCUGCUAGUGAGCAGCUCUGUGAAGUUCACCAAGCAGGUGGCUACGUGGAUGGGCAAUUUAUUCCCCUUUAACUGUCAUUUACAGGAAACAGGCAUACAAAAGUGUCAGGCUAAUCUGUUUACUUACUGUGUAAAAUGAUAGCUCAACCACAACACCUAAACUUGUUCUGUUUACCGUCAAAUGAAAACUACUUGUCACAGGGAUGGAUCAUUAAUAUAACAAAGUUUCCUGGAAACAUAAAAUGAAUGGUCUUAUUUUUUGCUUCAGGUCUGUUGCCGGCACAGAGGGCCCGAGGGGGCAACAGCGGGGUUCGUUGCGCGGUGUGCUUCGUGCCAAUGAACACACCAGGGUGGAGAAGCAGACAAAGU